UCAGUUGUUAAUAAAUAUUUUAUAAAAAAGUAAAAACGUAUCUGUUCUUAUCAGCUUAAUAGCUGAUACGUCUCCUAAUGGAGACAUCGAUAUUAAACUGAUUUUUAGAAUGGGAUGAGGUGCCACGGAGCUUGCUCUCCCCUCAUCACGGGUUGACCCGGUACUGCAGUACCUCCGGGAAUGGCCCACCACUC
rnacentral:snRNA from 1 species